rnacentral:rRNA from 1 species
CACUCCUGCGGGAGGCAGCAGUGGGGAAUUUUGGACAAUGGGCGAAAGCCUGAUCCAGCCAUGCCGCGUGCAGGAUGAAGGCCUUCGGGUUGUAAACUGCUUUUGUACGGAACGAAACGGCCUUUUCUAAUAAAGAGGGCUAAUGACGGUACCGUAAGAAUAAGCACCGGCUAACUACGUGCCAGCAGCCGCGGUAAUACGUAGGGUGCAAGCGUUAAUCGGAAUUACUGGGCGUAAAGCGUGCGCAGGCGGUUAUGUAAGACAGUUGUGAAAUCCCCGGGCUCAACCUGGGAACUGCAUCUGUGACUGCAUAGCUAGAGUACGGUAGAGGGGGAUGGAAUUCCGCGUGUAGCAGUGAAAUGCGUAGAUAUGCGGAGGAACACCGAUGGCGAAGGCAAUCCCCUGGACCUGUACUGACGCUCAUGCACGAAAGCGUGGGGAGCAAACAGGAUUAGAUACCCUAGUAGUCC